UACGUAGGGCGCAAGCGUUAUCCGGAACUAUUGGGCGUAAAGAGCUCGUAGGCGGUUUGUCGCGUCUGCCGUGAAAGUCCGGGGCUCAACUCCGGAUCUGCGGUGGGUACGGGCAGACUAGAGUGAUGUAGGGGAGACUGGAAUUCCUGGUGUAGCGGUGAAAUGCGCAGAUAUCAGGAGGAACACCGAUGGCGAAGGCAGGUCUCUGGGCAUUAACUGACGCUGAGGAGCGAAAGCAUGGGGAGCGAACAGG
rnacentral:rRNA from 1 species